CUCCAAAGACAAUCCACUUCCCAGUGUUGUGACAAGCGGCGACCGCGGUUGUACAGGAGCGGAAGCGUGAGCCUUUUGACGAGCGACUGUGAAGAAUGCAAAACCAGUGCCAAACUUCGGAAUCGAUAGCCCGGGCGGCGUGUUGGCACAGCGAGGAUGAGAACGAGAGACCCGAUAGACAGCGAUGACAGCUGUUCACGGCACCGACACAGAGGACAUAUUGCAGUGCAAGAUAGGAGCGGUCUUCCUCCAAGCCCAGACAAGCCAUAUUGAGUGGUUUCAAAUACAGCAACUGUACCACCACGACAGUGCAGCACAAGAGACCCUAUCGUCAGUGCUGAGCCAG
rnacentral:lncRNA from 1 species